CCGAAUCAGGGAUAAUGAAACAUCAGAAUUUUCAGUCCUUUGCCAAAACAAAAUUGAGUUCUUCGGAAUCAAGACAAAAAUUUUCCGAUCUCAACUCGUGUCCUUCGAAAUCAUUCAUUUUCAAAACCGAUCCUUUCUUUAUUCACAAUGUCUUCUACUGAAUUUGGAGCCUCCUUUAUCCAGUAUUUCGGCCAUUCAUACCUCUUUUGCUAGUGUGUGCGCUGCAGUAUUGGCCGAUCUAGCAGUUACCCCUUUAAUUAUCGUCAACGCGUCACCUUCCACGCAGAUCUCCUUGAAACCUAAUUCCUCUCCAAAAGUGACCGCAUGCAAGCACGCCCAGGCUUUUGGUAGUUAUGGUGUCGAGAUGUUUAAGAACGGGUAAAUGCAUGCAGCCAUAAUCAAUCCAUUUUUAUUUCUUGCAAUUAUACCUGCCUUAGAAAUGUUAAGACUGUUGAAAGGAGGCAUCAAAAUUAAUUUUGAUUAUAUUCCUAUCAGGUGGUUCCCAUUUGAUUUUUUUAGGCAUAGUUCUUGUCAUAAAAACGCCUUCAAUAAAAUCGUUCUCCGAUAAGUAUGCGUUAAUAAAAGAAAUCACCUCUUGUUCAUUUGGGGUUUGUCCCUCGUGAUAUAUUCUGUUUCUGUUGAACCAUAUUGCCCAGAAAGAAAUCAUAAGAGUUCUACAUUUUUUGCUUUCAUUUUCAUAGAAGAAAUCCACUAACCAAUUUUGCCAUUCUUGUUUUCUGUCUGAGGUUGAGUCUUCGAUUCUCAGAUCUUGCAGGAUUUUUCUUGUGAAUUUACAAUCUCGGAAUAGAUGUGCCGCAGUUUCCUCAUCCUUCUUGCAAACUGGGCAACAAGCAUUUCUCACCAAGCCUUUAGUUUCUGAAAUUGUAAAGCGUAGGCAAAAGCCCCUUCGAAAGUUUCCACACGUGUAUUCAGAUUUUAGCUGCUACUUUAAUCUUCCACAUCUUUGUAAAGAAAGUAUGCAUUCGAGAAUUCUGUGAAGCGGUGUUGUCUUCUUUUUUAUGUAAAUUUUCUGUAAAAGCCAUCUGUAACCGCUUUUGAUUGUGUAAUUUCCUGAUUUAUCACCCCGCCAUAUCAAGAUAUUCGGCUGGCUUGGACAUACUAGUGGAAUCAUAAGAAUCCGAUUUAUUGUCUCUUCAUCGAACAGAAUUCUAAGGGAUUCAAUAUUCCAGGUCCUGAUAGCCAAUUAUCAUUCCAUAUAUUAAUAGAGGCACCAUUCCCCAGUUUCCAUCCCAAUCCUUGUUCCAGUAAGGAGCGGGCAUUCCAGAUACUUCGCUAGGUAAACGAUGUGUAAGCUCCCAGUCUUGCACUUAGAAAAUCACCUCUUGGAUAAUAUUUAGCUUUCAUUACCUGUGCAAGCAAACUGGUGGGGUUCAUAAUUAGAUUCCAUCCUUGUUUGGCUAACAAGGCAACAUUAAACUUUGAUAAGUCUCUAAACCCCAUCCCCCCUUGCGAUUUCGUAUUACACAUGGCUGAUCAGCUGCACCAAUGAAUGCCUUUAUUUGUAACUGUAUCACGUCACCAGAAUAUGUUAAACGUGUUUUCUAAUUCCCUGCAAAAAGAAUUUGAUAACAUAAAACAUUGCAUUGCCUAAA